rnacentral:rRNA from 1 species
CUACGGGACGCUCCAGUGAGGAAUAUUGCACAAUGGGGGGAACCCUGAUGCAGCAACGCCGCGUGGAGGAUGACGCAUUUCGGUGUGUAAACUCCUUUUAUAUGUCAAGAAAAUGACGGUAGCAUAUGAAUAAGCACCGGCUAACUCCGUGCCAGCAGCCGCGGUAAUACGGAGGGUGCAAGCGUUACUCGGAAUCACUGGGCGUAAAGGACGCGUAGGCGGGUUGGAAAGUCAGGUGUGAAAUCCUACAGCUUAACUGUAGAACUGCACUUGAAACUUCUAAUCUAGAGUAUGGGAGGGGGAGAUGGAAUUAGUGGUGUAGGGGUAAGAUCCGUAGAUAUCACUAGGAAUACCUAAAGCGAAGGCGAUCUCCUGGAACAUUACUGACGCUAAGGCGUGAAAGCGUGGGGAGCAAACAGGAUUAGAUACCCUUGUAGUC